UACGGAGGGUGCGAGCGUUGUUCGGAUUUACUGGGCGUAAAGGGCGGGUAGGCGGCCACCGCAAGUCAGUUGUGAAAUCUCUGGGCCUAACCCAGAAAGGUCAACUGAUACUGCGGGGCUAGAGUGCAGAAGGGGCAACUGGAAUUCUCGGUGUAGCGGUGAAAUGCGUAGAUAUCGAGAGGAACACCUGCGGCGAAGGCGGGUUGCUGGGCUGACACUGACGCUGAACUGCGAAAGCUAGGGGAGCGAACGGG
rnacentral:rRNA from 1 species